UAUUAGGAAAUGAAGGAAACAUAAUGGAUAUUUAUAGAUUGAGAAAAGCAUUAUUUAUUUUUCUUCGAAAUACAAGAAUAAUAAAUAGAAUUUAAUAGAUGUAAAGAAAUGUUGCUACACACUCGUGUACAGUAGGUGGCGGUAUGCACCUUAAAGUUGCUGCAAUCCGCCAUAAUAAAAGAGAAGAAGAAGAAUUCCAUCGCUGCUUGUCUUGGCGUCUUCCAAAACCACAGAAGAAUGCGGCUGGAUCGAGCCUUAUUAACACAGCCGAAGGAUUAUAUUGGGUGUUUUCUGGCAACCGCUUGAUGGUCAGGUUUUUUUCCACCCCGUUUCAACCCAGGAUGGCGAGCUAAGGGUCACCGCAGCUUUGCGGUAGGACUUAAUUGAACCAAAAUACUUUGUGCAUUCUGGACCUAUUGCCUUGGAUCAUGGACUAAAAACAGUCGGUUAUUGAUUGAUGGACCAUUAAUCACCCUGGAUUCAAGAACGGACUUAAAAUAGGAAACAAAAACUCUUGGGUGUCAUCAGGGUUUAUUGUUUUGUUGUUGUUGUUUCUUCUUGUUGUGUUUAUUGGAUAUACUCAUAGAAAAUCACUAUUAUUAUCAAUACUAUUAUUACUGAAUACCUUCCUAAAUAUAUGCAAAAAUAUAAGCUUGAAUACAAUAAUUUGAAUUUACUUUCUGUCUGAUGGUGUUUUAUUCACACACACACACAGACACACACACACGGGCUCCACAGCCGAACUUUCUGACGGCCUACUAUUAUAUUUGGCCGUAGCCUCGCCCAUUAGUUAGCGUUACACAAGACCGAAGAAAAGGGCAAAAGUUGCCCUUUUUUGAAGUUUCACUAAUCAGAUAAAAGUUUCACAAACAUGGUUAUAAAGACUCUUGUUGAAGAGGAGAAUAAUCUAGCCCAGAUUUGAAAUGUCGCAUCUACUUUUAAUAACUAUACAAAAUGAAAUUAUUGUACUUAAGUUAUAGACAAACAAUUUUCUUAACUGUUUUCAUAUUCCAUGUUGAUGUAUUAAGUUUUGGCUAAGUACAUAUUUUUU